AUUGAACGCUGGCGGCAUGCUUUACACAUGCAAGUCGAACGGUAACAGGGAGCUUGCUCCGCUGACGAGUGGCGAACGGGUGAGUAAUGCGUCGGAACGUGCCGAGUAGUGGGGGAUAACGCAUCGAAAGGUGUGCUAAUACCGCAUACGUACUGAGGUAGAAAGUGGGGGACCUUCGGGCCUCACGCUAUUCGAGCGGCCGACGUCUGAUUAGCUAGUUGGUGAGGUAAAGGCUCACCAAGGCGACGAUCAGCAGCGGGUCUGAGAGGAUGAUCCGCCACACUGGGACUGAGACACGGCCCAGACUCCUACGGGAGGCAGCAGUGGGGAAUUUUGGACAACGGGCGCAAGCCUGAUCCAGCCAUGCCGCGUGUCUGAAGAAGGCCUUCGGGUUGUAAAGGACUUUUGUCCGGGAGCAAAUGCCUGGUGUUAAUAGCACUGGGAGCUGAGAGUACCGGAAGAAUAAGCACCGGCUAACUACGUGCCAGCAGCCGCAGUAAUAC
rnacentral:rRNA from 1 species